UUCCGUAGGUGAACCUGCGGAAGGAUCAUUAUUGAUUGUGAAUCGUUGCCUUCAGUGCUGGCCCCGGCAAGUGCACGUUGGUGACUUUCAUCCAAUACCCAUGUGAACUUCUGGCCUCUUGCUAGCUUCGGCUGGCAGAGGAUUUUUACACACACUCGAAUGUAAUGAAACCUAUUGUUGUGCGCAAGCACUAAUGUACAACUUUCAACAACGGAUCUCUUGGCUCUCGCAUCGAUGAAGAACGCAGCGAAAUGCGAUAAGUAAUGUGAAUUGCAGAAUUCAGUGAAUCAUCGAAUCUUUGAACGCACCUUGCACCCUUUGGCAUUCCGAAGGGUAUGCUCGUUUGAGUGUCAUUGUACUCUCACACUCUCCAAUCCUCUGGAUCCGGGGAGUGGUGGACUUGGGCGUCUGCUGCUUGACCGUGGCUCGCUUUAAAUGGAUUAGUGCAACUCUUGGUUGGACAUAGUACGGCGUGAUAAGUGUCUUCGCCGGCACCUCGGAAGAGGGUGACUGAUUGAGAGCUCUGUGCUUCAAACUGUCUUCGGACAACCUCUGACAACUUGACCUCAAAUCGAGUAGGACUACCCGCUGAACUUAAGCAUAUCAAUAAGCGGAGGAAAAGAAACUAACAAGGAUUCCCCUAGUAACGGCGAGUGAAGAGGGAAGAGCUCAAAUUUUGAAUCUGGCGUCUUUGGCGUCCGAAUUGUAAUCUAGAGAAGUGUUUUCCGUGACGGACCGUGCAUAAGUCUCCUGGAAUGGAGCGUCAUGGAGGGUGAGAAUCCCGUAUAUGGCACGGACUCCCGUUGCUCUGUGAUACACUCUCGACGAGUCGAGUUGUUUGGGAAUGCAGCUCUAAACGGGUGGUAAAUGCCAUCUAAAGCUAAAUAUUGGCGAGAGACCGAUAGCGAACAAGUACCGUGAGGGAAAGAUGAAAAGCACUUUGGAAAGAGAGUGAAACAGUACGUGAAAUUGUUGAAAGGGAAACGCUUGAAGUCAGUCGCGCCGUUCGGGAUUCAGCCUUGCUUCUGCUCGGUUUACUUCCCGUUGGGUGGGUCAACAUCAGUUUUGGUCGGAGGAGAAAGACUUGGGGAAGGUGGCAGCAUUCGUGCUGUGUUAUAGCCCCUUGUUGUAUACUUCGGCUGGGACUGAGGAUCGCAGCACGCCUUUGGCCGGGGUUCGCCCACGUACGUGCUUAGGAUGUUGGCAUAAUGGCUUUAAGCGACCCGU
rnacentral:rRNA from 1 species